rnacentral:rRNA from 1 species
CCUACGGGAGGCAGCAGUGGGGAAUAUUGGACAAUGGGCGAAAGCCUGAUCCAACCAUGCCGCGUGUGUGAAGAAGGCCUUCGGGUUGUAAAGCACUUUCAGUGGGGAAGAAAGCCUUGGGGCUAAUACCCUCGAGGAAGGACAUCACCCACAGAAGAAGCACCGGCUAACUCCGUGCCAGCAGCCGCGGUAAUACGGAGGGUGCGAGCGUUAAUCGGAAUUACUGGGCGUAAAGCGCGCGUAGGCGGUCUGAUAAGCCGGUUGUGAAAGCCCCGGGCUCAACCUGGGAACGGCAUCCGGAACUGUCAGGCUAGAGUGCAGGAGAGGAAGGUAGAAUUCCCGGUGUAGCGGUGAAAUGCGUAGAGAUCGGGAGGAAUACCAGUGGCGAAGGCGGCCUUCUGGACUGACACUGACGCUGAGGUGCGAAAGCGUGGGUAGCAAACAGGAUUAAAUACCCGUGUAGUC